UGCGGGGUGUAGCAGUGGAAGCUAGUCUGCCUCAUAAGUAGAAGGUCGUGGGUUCGAGUCCCACCCCCGCAACCA
rnacentral:tRNA from 2 species